rnacentral:rRNA from 1 species
CCUACGGGCGGCAGCAGUGAGGAAUAUUGCACAAUGGGGGAAACCCUGAUGCAGCGACGCCGCGUGAGCGAUGAAGUAUUUCGGUAUGUAAAGCUCUAUCAGCAGGGAAGAAAAUGACGGUACCUGACUAAGAAGCCCCGGCUAACUACGUGCCAGCAGCCGCGGUAAUACGUAGGGGGCAAGCGUUAUCCGGAUUUACUGGGUGUAAAGGGAGCGUAGACGGCGGUACAAGUCUGAAGUGAAAUGCCGGGGCUUAACCCCGGGACUGCAUUUGAAACUGUGCAGCUAGAGUGUCGGAGAGGCAGGCGGAAUUCCUAGUGUAGCGGUGAAAUGCGUAGAUAUUAGGAGGAACACCAGUGGCGAAGGCGGCCUGCUGGACGGUAACUGACGUUGAGGCUCGAAAGCGUGGGGAGCAAACAGGAUUAGAUACCCCAGUAGUC